CACUUCGGCAGACAUUGCAACCGGAUCCUUUCAUCCAAUUUUUUUCUUCUUCUCAUCUUCUCCAUAUCUUCACCGUCCGCUCGACUCAAGGGUUUUGAAUUUCAAACUGUUUCUCCACUGCAAUUUCAUUCGGUUUUUGAACAAAACUUGAAGCAUUUUUCUUUCACUAGGAAGUGCUGUGAAUUUUUCUGAGCGUAGACUACAGCGGAUUGUUUUGGUUCGGGGUGGAUUUGAAGCUUUCGUGACUUGGUUAGGUGGUGUUACUAUUAGAGUUCCGGCUCAAGGUGUUG